AUUUUGAGGGUAACACCCCCUCUAUUACCUUCAAAAUACUGGCAUUUCAUUUCCCCAUUGUUGCCACCCAUUCAGUCCACAUUAGUUGCCAGGUGCAGCUUUCACCCUACAAUCCCAAAAAUAUGAGGAAAACCUUGUUGGUGGAAUGGUCUUUUUAAAAAAAAUUAUUAUUAUUAUUUUUUUUUAAAUGAGGAAUUGGAAAAAAAAAAAACAGGACUUUUGUCCUUAAUGUGCAAACAAAAACACGCAACACAGUAUGACAGGAACGAUGGUGAAAGGACGUUGGUAACUUUGCAUUCCUAGCAGCUCUGGCAGACAAUAAAGGAAGUCCUCAAGUUACGAUGCACUCGACCUACGACGUUCGACUUUACGACGCCCGUGCCUCGUCUGCCAUUUUGUCCCAGCACCAUAGUGUUUCUGCUUAGCUAGUGCAUAGUGCUUGUCUGUGUUUGUGCGGCGGGAGUAUCUUUGCCUUUUUCGCCCUCCUUUUUUCACGCUCUCAGCAGUAAUGUAAUCAGCACCACCUCGGCCGAGCAUCUGUUGUCAAUCAGCAUUCAUCAUUGCCUCCAUUUAAGCCUGCCAGAUCCAGGAUUCCACCGCCAGAGUAUUAACAUUCAUCCGUGUGCUCCUUCCGUGCUCCCCGCCUCGCUGUUCUCUCCAGCCACGCCGCCAAGCUCUUCUGCCUGCUCACGCCACAGCCUCCCGCACGUUCCUUGUCCCGACGGUCCACCAUCACACCUUGGAGAUCCCACUCUGAACUCUAUUUUAAAUAAACCCUUCUCCACGACUUCUUCCGCCUCCGUCUGCUUCUGGGUCCAGUCAACCCUGAUAUGAUUGUAUUGUGACAGAAUACUCUGGCCAUCAUGGACACAGCAACCCAGGAGGUGCUAAGAGAAGCGCCCACAUUGGAAGACAGGACAAAGUUCUCUGCGAGAUCAUGGCCUCGUUCAACACCCUCUCUCAAUAAGUAUCCCUCAGUUCUUCCCAAAUGCACACCGGCCACCCUCCCGUCAGUAUUCCUUCCGAGCCCACAGCCUCCGAUCAAUCCUGCCUCCCGUACAAAGAGCCUCAUGAUGUUCCUCCGCCCGAGCCAUACUCCGGGGACUUAGGUUCAUGCAGCCAUUUCCUCUUAAAUCGCUCCCUAGUAUUCAAUCUGCAACCAUUGAGCUACCCUAGUGAACAAUCCAAGGUCGCAUUUGUCACCAACCUCCUACGCGGGAAAGCUGCUAAAUGGGCACUCGAGCUAUGGCAUAAUUCCUCCCCAGUACUCACGUCAAUUGACUCUUUUUCCGCCGAACUUAAAAAGGUCGUUGACCACCCCGUUCAGGGCAGGGAAGCCACUCGACGCCUCCUUACACUCACUCAGGGCUCUAGUUCCGUGGUGUCCUCUUCUGUUGAAUUUAGAAUUCUAAGUGCGGAUAAUUCUUACGGGUGAGUGUGGGUAGGAUGAAGCCAUGCUAUGGGAUAUUUUUUUACAAAGGGCUUUCGGAGCAGCUCAAGGACGAGCUCGCAACCAGGGACGAGCCUUCCUCACUCAAGGACCUAAUUUUGUUGUCCAUUCGCCUCGACAACCGUUUGUGGGAAAGAGCACGGGAGAGGGGGGUAAAAGCUGAUAGAUUAGUAUCCUCCACGGGCACAGCGCCAUUAGCAAUUCCGCCACAUCCUGAACUCCCGACCGCCUGAUCAUCACCCCCCACUGCAUCGGGUGAGCCCAUGCAACUCGGCAACAUCAGAUUAGAACUUCAGGAACGUCAGCGCCCUUUUAACCAAAGAUUGUGUAUCUAUUGUGGACAACCAGGCCACUUCAUUGCCACAUGCUCCAUGAGACGAAAAGACCGGGCUCACCACGGCCCAAGAGCGCCUUGGUGAGCCAAACCAACACCUUCCCAAGCUCUCCCUCCCGUAUGACCAUUCCCACGUGUAUUCUUGGUCCCGUUCGCAACACACCAGUAACAGCCCUCAUUGACUCCGGCGCAGAUGAUAGUUUUAUUCAUUAGGGUUUAGCACGUCAGCUCCUACUCCCUCUCAAACCCCUCCCUUCGCCAAAAAAGGUCACAGCCCUGGAUGGGCUACACAGCUCCCCUGUCACCAUGAAACCAUCCAGCUUUGCAUAGAAAAAGAAAAAAAGAGAGAAAAAAAGGGGGAAAAAAUGAAAAAAAAAAAAGUUAUUAAUUCAUGUUGAUGACGCCAUUCAGUAACCUGUGUGGCGUAUAUUACCAAGUAAUGGGUACGGUUAUGUUCAUGCUCUUUUUGUACCGUGGAUAAGUAAUAUUCCUGCCACUUGUCAACUGCGGAAAGUAACUAAUAAAGUAGUACUAAUAAAGUUAUUUGUAAUCUAA